rnacentral:lncRNA from 1 species
UUAGGUUAUAAUCAACUUUUUGUUAUAUUUCGUUUGUACUUCGGGUACGCAAAAUCUGUAUAUGCAGAACAAAAAUCUCAGGUACUUCAAGUUUAUAAACAAGAACACAAUGAAAAAUACCCUCAACACAAGAUCAAAAUGACCUUUCCAAGAGGUGUAUUUUAUUUUUCAGAAAAAUAGAUGAAACAGAAAAUAGCCAAGUCGUCCGAAUUCACGGAGUUUCCUUAAGGAAAUAAUCCCCCUCACUGUACCCGAGGUUGUGGAAUUUUUCCUCCCAGGAUAAAAUGGCUAAAUAGACCAACUGUAGCGGUACCUCAAACGGUUGGAAUAUCUUCGGAUGAGAUCAAAAUGACCUUUCCAAGAGGUGUAUUUUAUUUUUCAGAAAAAUAGAUGAAACAGAAAAUAGCCAAGUCGUCCGAAUUCACGGAGUUUCCUUAAGGAAAUAAUCCCCCUCACUGUACCCGAGGUUGUGGAAUUUUUCCUCCCAGGAUAAAAUGGCUAAAUAGACCAACUGUAGCGGUACC